AUGGGGAAGUCGUCCAUGUCAAGAUCCCUGUUGGGAAGAGAUGUGGCUAAAUUACUCCUGUCAGUGCAUAUUCAGGCCUUCUGCCGAGCAAGCUCUGCAACUGCUGCAAGGGACCUUUUUUUUGGUGGUCAGAAUGUGAGCCUUUCACGGGGAAGAAGCCCUUUGAACAAACAAACUCAUGUUAAUUCUUGCGUACCGAACUUCUAUAAUGCCUUGAGUUGUAUAUAUACUAGAGAGGAAGGCAGUGAUCUAUUUACUGUGGAGUUCAUAUUUGGAGGAUUUUUCCUUGGCGGUGGAAGCAGCAGGGCAUAUCUGAAUGGCCGCAAGCCAGGUAUGCAAUUGAAUGAAGGUGGGCUGAAGUUGUUGUCGAGGAACAAUGACACAAACAUUAUUAGGGAAGUGGUCAGAGAGGGGUACAAAUAUCUCAUGUUUUACCUGGAUCAUGAGGACAACUAUGGUGGAGGAGGAUGGGAUGAUGCGGUUUCAAACCCUUUUACUCGUCAGAGAGAGGAAAAUAUCGUUGAGCCUAGCUUUGUUGUCCCAGAGGAGAAUAGAAGUGAGGUAAUGUAUACAGGUGAUAGCACUUGUGAAGGAACAAGUAGUGGCAGUAGAAGAAGCAGAAGAGCAGUCGUAGAGGAGGAAGAUGACGAAGGCUCUUGGUCAGAUAGUGAUGACUCUGAUUAUAAUCCGGAAGAGCUUGUGGACAGUGACUAUGACCUGCAGGAUGGGGAUGAGGAUUUGGUGAUGGAUGAGUCACAUGUUGCUGAUGAUGAGAAGAAGGGUAAAAGGAAAGGGAAGCAGGUAGCUGAAGAUGACAAUUCUGAAGAUGAAAAGCUUGAAAUGCCAGAGUCAGAUGACGAGGAAAUGAAGUUUAAGUUCAAUCAUUUCACAGAAGAAGAUUUGCAUGAGCCGAAGUUUCAUGUUGGGCAGGUAUUCUCGUCAAUAGAAUUGAUUAGGAAGGCAAUUAGGGAGUACAGUUGCAAGGAGAGACUUGGCAUAACAUUUGGAAAGAGGAAAGAGGAAGCGGUGGCAAAAAAGCUGGAGAAAGAGGAGAAACGGAAAGCUUUGUUGCAACAAAAACAAUUGGAUGCUGAAGAAAAAAGAAAAGCAGUCGAGGAAAGAAAGCAAAAGGCACAACAGGAAAAAGAAGCAAAAAAAGCCCUGGCAGAUGCCAAAAGCAAGCUAUACAAGCUAAAAAGAAACAGGCCGAGGAAGAAAAAAAUAAGAGAGUUGCAGAGCGAACAAGAAUUGCAGAGCAGAAGAGAAAACAUGUUGAAGAUGCGCAUAGAUAUGAAGAAGCGCAAUUUCUGUUAA
rnacentral:rRNA from 1 species